rnacentral:rRNA from 1 species
GACGAACGCUGGCGGCGUGCCUAAUACAUGCAAGUAGAACGAGUUGCGAACGGGUGAGUAACGCGUGGUAACCUGCCUCCUAGCGGGGGAUAACUAUUGGAAACGAUAGCUAAUACCGCAUACCAUCAGAUGUGCCCAGAUGGGAUUAGCUAGUUGGUUGGGUAACGGCUCACCAAGGCGACGAUCCCUAGCUGGUCUGAGAGGAUGACCAGCCCAACUGGAACUGAGACACGGCCCAGACUCCUACGGUAGGCAGCAGUGGGGAAUAGUACACAAGGGGCGGAGUCCGGAGCCAGACAGGCCGCGUAUAGGAAAAGGGCCUUGGGGUUGUAAAGUACUUUCAGCGGGGUGUCGUUACCCGAAGAAGAAGCACCGGCUAACUCCGUGCCAGCAGCCGCGGUAAUUC